rnacentral:lncRNA from 1 species
ACCACACCAGGAACGAAAGUUUAUAAUAGAUAUAGAAGUGACAGUAAACAAGUUUUUCAAGAUUUAAAAUGAACAACAUGAUUUGGCUUCUUGCUCUAAAAUAGAAACAAUCUGCAACACUAACUUGGCGACAAUCCCACCAAUUCAACGACAAUGGAUAUCUCUACCCUUCACUCCUUUGUGGUUUCUAGAAUCAAAGGAGAACUACCAUCAUUGCAGGAAAGGAAAAGAAAAUAACAACAGUUCUUGCGGUUAAAGCAUCUGUCAAGUGAAGGUAUGCUGCUUGAAUCCUUCUUUCAGUAACCAUCUGUACACAGCGGCAGUAGUGCCAAGGAAAAAAACUUAUUUGAAAAGGCAGUAAGAAUAAGCUUCAGGACACAGUGAGGGCUGAAGCUACCUAUUUGAAAACAGUGAAACAACUCAUUAAAUUUAUCCAGUUUUAAGAAUUAAUAUUGUACAACUAAGAGCAGACUACAAAAUAGUCAAUCAAGAAGAUUCAACUGUAUAAACUUGAUAAUUAGAGACAAUGUUUUAGCCAAAAUAUUUUAACCAACACUUCCACCAACCACCCGGUGAAGUGAAAUAUAUAAUAUGGUCAAUCAAGCAUAUUAAAAUUAAUAUGUUAGAAGUAAUAAAAGUGCACUGGGAAGGCAACCAUAAAGAAGAACCGAUGUCAAGAGCACUGACGAUCACAGUAAUAAGAAAAAGUAACCGAUGUCAAGAGCACUGACGAUCACAGUAAUGAGAGAAAGUAUCACAUGGCAAGAACAAUGGACUGACCAGACCAUCUGAAAUCCCUGGAACUACAUGAUAUCAGAUCCCUAACAACGCACAUAAUACCUACAAAGUAGCUGAUGCAAAAAUAAGUCCAAAAAUAGUUAUUUAUUUUUCUAAACCCAAAAUACAGUUAGGGAGACCUCGAGACAGAUAGUUUACAGGUCGGUGAAAGAGGCUGGUGACAAAAUUGAGACACCACAAUACCUACAGAUAUGACAAAGACAUGAGAAACGGUUGACCUGGCAAUGUUGUUCAGUGUUAAAACAAUCCCAAAAAUGACAUUGAGAAAUCUAUCCUGGCCUAGAGAAAUGAGCUUAGACGGACUUUACAGAAUGCUAAUUCAUGCACUAAACUUCUCCCAGAAAUAAUCAUGUAUUGCAGAUUGAGUAAUUAGCGGUGUUGCGUCAAGAACUAUAGAGAAUUCUUGUUUGCAUUAGUACAAACAAUAAAAUCAAAAGGCAGGCAUGACUGUGUUCACAAGAGAGAAAUGCCAACUUGUUCUUAUUCACCAAAUUCUUCUGCUGGAUUAUUCCUCUUCUUUCUCAGAUCUGCACACAUCUGUUCAGAGAAGCCAGAUAUUAGGAAAUCAAACCAGAGUGACAAAGGAUGGAGCACCUAACAGAGGUUUGUGAACUACCUCUUCAUGCCACGCCAUAAGAUGAUUACUUUCAGCCAGAUUGAUUCCAUGUUUCUGUGAAUAAAACAUAUUGCACGUGACUGGAUCUUAAUGUUAUAGAUUAGCAAGCAUCUCUAGAUUCAAUCACCAUAUAUAUCUUACUCCUAAAGUUACAGGGUAACCGUAAUCAUCUACUUACAAUUUCCAAGACAUUCUUUAUAAAUGUUAUACUACAUGGCACAUGCCUAUGUCCAAAAGGGCAAUAAUAUGCAACUCAAGGAUCAUAUUCAUGUGGUGCCGUAAUUGCAUCCCACAAAAAGAAACCUAUAGGCCUAAGAAACAGAGUAAAUAUCAAUAAUACAUCAUUACCAUGAAAGAAUUUCUCUCCUAGAAAUUCAUAUCAAAGAGAGUGUGCACAGAAGCAACCCAUACAGGUCAACUCAAGAUAUUUAAAUGAACGUAUUCAAAGAUAUUCCACGACCUUAUUUACGGAAUUUAGACAAUUUUUGCUGCCAAGGUUAGAGCAUUGCCUAGUCUGUUUCUGGCACAAAAACAAUCUUAACCCAGCCUGCAGCUGAAUAACGUGAAAUAAGAUUUAAGAAUAAGACCAAUAAUUAGUACGUGUUGUACAAAGAAAUCUUAGCUACAGAAGGAGUUUUGUGAACAAAUUAAGAUAGUUAAAUGAGUGAAAGGACAGUACCAGAUGACCCCGGCUCCCAGCUCACUGCACACAGAAAUUUGCUAACUUAUUUCCAGGAUCAAACAAUUUGGAAGCUUUGUAUUGUACAAUAAGAAAACCCAAAAGAAGUUUCAUGAUUGCAAUCUAAUUAAAGAACAUGUCCUCCUCAGUCAGAGAUUCAUUUAAUAAAAAAGAGAGAAAGGAUCAAGAGCACAUCACACAGGUCUACUGAGAUCAGGAGCGGACAAGAACAACGGGCAUUCAUGUUUCAUCAUCAAUGCCUCCUAUAAUAUACGCAAUCUGUAAAAAAUGUGAACCUAAAAAUGUGGUGAAACCAAAAGAAAACACACUGUAAAUAGAUGUAAAAGGGACAUGCUCGUUAAACUUUGCAAUCCCUUCCAAGGAACUUUUUAUGAAAAGAAAAUUUCGAGUAAGUACAAGAAGUGUCCAGUCUUCCGAACACAUGUGCUGGGAAUGGACUACAAAACAAGCCAGUGUUCUCAAAUUAUGUUUGGUACUACACCGAGCUUCUUAAAUCAUGAGGAAAUUGGACCCUCCACAACACUGUCCAAUGCACACUGCACGGGGUC